CCCUCCCUCCAGCGGUAGGCCCUGGAGGUCUCCUAGGGUCAGGAGGGCCAACGUGGCCAACGGGCUCCAAGCCGGUGACCGAGGAGAGACACUGAAGCGGAAGACGUUUUACGACACUUCGUAAAGUGAAAGUGAAGUCGCUCUGUCGUGUCUGACUCGUUGCUACCCUGUGGACUGUAGACCGCCAGGCUCCCCCGGUCCAUGGGAUUUUCCAGGCAAGAAUACUGGAGCGGAUUGCCAUUUUCUUCUCCAGGGGAUCUUCCUGACCUAGGGAUCGAACUCAGGCCUCCCGCAUUGCGGACAGACUCUCUACCAUCUGAGUCACCAGGGAAUCCCAAAGUGAGAAAAGUAAAUGGCCUCUUCACUGGAAUCCAUCUUGGCUGAGAGAUGCACUUGCACACGUGGGAGGAUUCUAAGUUAAACCGAACACAGGCUCAGCACCAGACAAAUGGAAAUGAUUAGCCCAAGAAACCCGGAAGAAAUGCUCCACAAGAAUGCUUCAAACUACCAAGCGGGUGCAACUCUCUGAGUCCACCCGUGUAUCCACUCGAACUGUAUGCUUUUCCUGCUAAUAAACGUGCUCUUUGUUUCCUUACUUUCUGUCUUCAUGGGAAUUCAUUUCUGCAGAGCUGAAGGGCCAGGGCCUUGUCACUGACCAUUGGUCUAGUGGCUAAGAUUCAGUACUCUCACCGCGGAGACCCGAUCUCAAUCUCUGGCGGGGAAAGGAAGCCCCACUUCAAGCCGUGGCAGGUCAAAGCCACCCAAGAUCACAUUUGGUGCUGAAACCCAGGAAUUCAAGGUAAACCUUGGGCUUCACCCAGCUGUGGCUUGAGGCCACUGACUUUCGCUCCUGCUUUCUUUUUCUCACUCUCCGUUUCACUUUCAAGACCCACAGGGCAUAAUUUUUGUCUACUCAACAUUGAGGAUGGCAGAGGGGUCCCCCAAGCCGUGCAGAUUCAAAUAACACUUGGGUGACAGUUGACUCUGUCCUUUGGGACAUGGUGGAAAUGUGAUUUCCAAACGUGCAGGAGCUCAAGGGGUCUUUCUCACCCACUCUCCCUCUGUCCUUGUCCAGUAUGGAACCUUCCACUAGGCUUUUCCUUCCCACCUUACUUGCACAACAGGGUCUCUU
ensembl:lncRNA